AUUGAACGCUGGCGGCGUGCUUAACACAUGCAAGUCGAGCGAUGAAAUUCCUUCGGGAGUGGAUUAGCGGCGGACGGGUGAGUAACACGUGGGCAACCUGCCUUAUAGAGAGGAAUAGCCAUCCGAAAGGAUGAUUAAUACCUCAUAAUAUUGUAGCUUCGCAUGGAGUAACAAUCAAAGGAGCAAUCCACUAUAAGAUGGGCCCGUGGCGCAUUAGCUAGUUGGUGAGGUAACGGCUCACCAAGGCGACGAUGCGUAGCCGACCUGAGAGGGUGAUCGGCCACAUUGGGACUGAGACACGGCCCAGACUCCUACGGGAGGCAGCAGUGGGGAAUAUUGCACAAUGGGGGAAACCCUGAUGCAGCAACGCCGCGUGAGUGAUGACGGCCUUCGGGUUGUAAAGCUCUGUCUUCAGGGACGAUAAUGACGGUACCUGAGGAGGAAGCCACGGCUAACUACGUGCCAGCCGCCGCCGUAAAAC
rnacentral:rRNA from 1 species